GUAGAAAAAAAUUGCCAAUUCCGGUUUACAAAAGGUCACUUCCGGUUGGAUUUUUCAAGGUCACAUUGCUUGCAACCUUUUGCCAAAAGUCCCAUGGCUUUAUCAUGUAUAUAUAAGAGGAAAAAGCAAAGGUCAAAAUCUAGAACUUUAAAUUUACCUAUGACCUUGAGCUCAAUUUCAAGGUCAUCAACCAAGGACCUCAAAUCAAAAGACUCUACGCCUCUACUUUAUAUUGUUAAUGAGUUAUAUAACAAUACAACUAAUAUUAGAUAUAAAAGGGGGCAAAACUCGCAUUAAUUGUUACGUACCCUUUUAAGUAAAAUUUACAUGUUACGACAUGUCGCAACUAACAAUUGUCUGGAAAUAAUAUGUCGAUAUCUUGUAUGAUUUCUGAAAAUAAAACAUAACAAGCC
rnacentral:lncRNA from 1 species